rnacentral:lncRNA from 1 species
CUGAUUCAAAAGUUUUAUUUUGGUUUACAAAACACAAAGCACAUUUUGCAGUAGUGGUAAUAUAUAUUUUAAAAUGUGAUUUUCCAAAAACUAUAAUGAUACAGUAAUAAAGUUAGAAAUAUGUAAAACAGAGUACAUAUCUAGCUGCAUCCAUGGUAUUAUAACUGUACAAUAUUGUAAAGCGUACCAUAAGCUAUAUUUUCAGUUUGUGUAGUCCAGUAAACUUAAUGUGAACUUUGCAAAUCUCCAUAAUUGCAGUCGUUAACUGAGGCUCUAUUAGGAUAUUAUGAAACACACAUUAAAGAGACACUUAAAGUACCAAAACCACUAGAGCUUAUAGAAAUGCUCUUCCUGCAUUGUAAUUUGUUAAAAACGGUAAUCACAAUUGACACCAAGGAUGCCUGUAGUGGCUGUUGCUGAAUGCAUUGCAUGUUUCUGUUAUGUAUGUUAUGUUUGGUUUACAUGCAACUAACUCUAUGGUUUAUUUUCUAUUGCAUGUGUUUCCUGUUGGGGUGUGUGCUUCCUUCCUGUAUCUCCUGAAAUAUGGCUGCUAUACAUGAAUACCGGGCAGUGUCUUUAUUUAUAUCUCCUGAAACAUGGUGUCAGAAGUAUCUGAACCUGGUCUGCUCUCACACAUUUGAUGCCAGGAGCUUGCAAGUCUUGCAGUGAGAGAUGUUUUGGAAGUGACUGUGCCUCCUGUAGCAAUUACAGCUACUACUGUCCUGCAAGCUGAGCAUUGGAAGCAAGAAAACCAGCAUCAUGGCAGCUGCUCAUAGCAUUCCACUACCCAAGGCAAUGAGGGGGAGUGGGGAUUGCAGGAUAACUUCAGAGCUGAGUUUGGCUACAGGGCCUAGCUAAAGGGCUGAAUGAGAAGCCUGCAGCAGUGAAAGCAGCCACACCGAGGACGGUGAUGGGCAGUGAGUGCUACCAUGUGUACAAGUAUAAUUUGAAGCUCGCAGAGGAGCAAAAGAUACUAAAGCCAUCCUUGAUGCAUUGGAAGCUUUCUUCAGACCUGCAAAAAGUGUAAUAUAUGAAAGAUAUAUAUAUAUUUGGCAGCUGCAAGCAAGAAGAAGGUGAAUGAAUAGACAACUUUGUCACAAGGCUAAGAGAAAAGGUUGUGAGUAUGGCUCCUUGAGAGAUGAACUUAUUCGUGACGAAAUAUUUCUAGGUAUUAAUACUGAAAGUACCCGCCGCCGCCUAUUGAGGGAACAUGAUUUAAACCUACAUGCUGCAAUUGAGAUAUGUCGCACUGCAGAACUUACCGACAAACAUAUAAGAGCUAUAGAGCAGGAUAAACAGACUGACAGCAUCCAUGCAGCCUUCAAGCAACAGCUAAGCUUGAAGAACCACUAGCACACGCAUCAAUACAAUAAUCACCAAAGAACCUCACCUGUGAGCAAGUCUACAUCAUGUAAGUACUGUGGCAGUAUUCAUGUGAGCAAGAAACAACAGUGUCCUGCAUAUGGGAAGACCUGUAGAUCAUGUGGUAGGCUAAAUCAUUAUGCUGGAGUAUGUCUGUCAAGAAGAAAGGAAGCAAGGGAGCUAAACACAAUUGAACAAAUGUCUGAUUCUGAGGAGGCACUCCUGCUUAGCAAUGAUGUGAUUUACUCAAAGGAAUGCAUUGGUGCUGUAAAGUUUAAGGGCAAAAAAUGGUUUGUAAAUCUCAAAAAGAAUAAUAUAUGUCAACCCUGCCAGUUGGAUUCUGGUGCAACAUGUGAUGUCAUGAGUUUGAAAGACAAGAUGAAACUGGCACCUAGGACACCACUUCAGCCUAGCAGCACCAAGCUGAAGCUAUAUUCAGGGGAACUAAUGGAAUCAUUGGGACUUUUCCAAACAGAGUGCACCAUACGUGAGCAUAUACACAAACUUGAAUUUGAGAUUGUUGAAGCCAAUCACAAACCUCUAUUGUCUGGUUCAGCAUGUGAGCGCCUGGGACUGAUGCAAUUCUCAAUUCCUGCUGAGCUGCACAAUAUUGAUAAUCAGGUUGCAAAUCCAUUGACUAGGCCACUGACAAAACUGAAAAUCCUCAAUGUCUAUAAUGAUGUGCUUAGUGGCCCAAUAGUAUCUGUUCCACGAGGGGUUCAUUAUGAACUGGAACCUACCAUUCCACCAGUACAAUGUGCCCCACACAAUGUACCAAUAGCCAUUAAGCCACAAGUAAAAGCGCAACUGGAUAAGAAUGAAGCUAACAGAUAUAUUACAUCAGUAUCAGAGCCAACUGAUUGGAUAAGCAACAUGGUAGUAAUUAGAAAGCCUGACAAGAUUAGAAUUUGCAUUGAUCCGAAGUUUCUUAACAUCAGGUCACACUACAAAAUGCCAACACUUGAGGAUGUUUUGCACAAACUGCCCAAAGCACAGGUUUUUACACUUGUUGAUGCAAGAGAUGACUUUCUACAGUGAAGACUGUUUAAAAGGGUAGCUACAUGACCACUUUCUGGAGGCCGAAAGAGAUGGCUCAAGCUGCCAGAAGUAUAUCACCGAAACCAGCAUGAACUGUUAAGUGGGCUCCACAGAACUGAACCAAUAGCAGAUGACAUUCUUAUAAUUGGCUGUGGUAAUACAAAUGAGGAAGCUGAGCAUGACCAUGAUGAGAAACUAGUAGCAUUAUUGGAUCACUGCAGGCAGGUAAUGCUGAGACUCAGCGUAAAGAAAUUACAAUUCAUGGUAUAAGAAGUCCGCUUCCAUGGACAUAUCCUGUCUCAACAAGACUUGAAAGCUGACCCAGAUAAGAUUAGAAUCAAAUAUGGAUAUGCCAUUGCCUGGUGACACCAAAGCAGUGCAGCGUUUUAUUGGCUUUGUCACAUACCUAGCAAAAUUCAUGCCGCAUUUGUCUUAGGUGUGUGAGCCAUUGAGAAGGUUUCUAGACAAAGAUGCAUUUGGCAUUGACUUCCAAGCAUGACCAGGCAGUGGAGGAAAUAAAAUGCUUGAUCACAGCUGAAAUAAUACAAUGUAAAAAAGCCUGUUGCAAUACAAAGCGACUCAAGCAAAAAUGGCCUAGGAUAUGUUUAUUGCAAGAAGGUCAGCCAGUUGCAUUAGCGUCCACAGCACUCUCUUCAGCUGAGCAAAAUUAUGCUCAAAUUGAAAAGGAAUGUUUAAGCAUUGUUUUUGCCUGUCAGUGCUUCCAUCAUUAUCUCUAUGGCCGGAAUGCAAUCAUAGCUGAAACUGAUCACAAACCGCUAAUAGCCAUAUUCAAGAAGCCGCUUUUAUGUGCUCCAAAGCGUUUGCAGAGCAUGAUUCUUACAUACAGAAUUACAACAUCAAUGUUGUGUACAAGCCAGGAUGUAAAAUGUACACCAGUAACACCCUAAGCAGAGCUACAACGGAACAUGUGGCACCUGAAGGUGAUCAUGAGCAUCUUGCAGUUUGUUUGUUGCAGCAGCAACAGAAUUUAUUUGCCAAAGUCAAGCAAGCAGACUAUCUUAAUGUCACAGAUCAGCUACAUCAGCUCAUACAGCACACAGAAAGUGAUGCAACUUUGCAAGUACUGAAGUCUAUAGUUCUGAUGAGGUGGCCAGAUGAAAAGGAUGUAACACCUGCAAUUGCGAAGGAAUAUUGGUCCUUCAGAGAUGAGGUCAGCAUACAAAAUGGUAUCUUGUACAACGGUGCAAGGGUCAUAGUGCCAAAGUCACUGAGAGCAGAGAUCGGAGGCAAGAUUUGCUACAGACAAGCUCAUGAUACUCUUUACUGGCCCAACAUGCAAGUUGAAAUCAAAGACUUUGUAAACAAUUGUCCCACUUGCAAUGAAUAUGCACACUUGCAACAAAAAUAAACCAUGAUGUCCCAUGAGAUACCUACACAUCCUAGGCAGAUUGUCAGCAUGGACUUAUUAAACUAUGCUGGAAAAUAGUACCUGCACUCAGACUUCUGGGAAACUGAUGUGCUUCCUCACCUGUCCACUGAAACUACAAUUAAGCGAUGCAAGCUGCAAUUUGCAUGUCAUGGCCAACCAGCUAAAGUGAUUUCUGAUAAUGAUCCUCAGUUUGCAAGCUUACAUUUCAGGACAUUUGCUACUGAAUGGGAGUUUGAGCAUGUGACUUCUUCACCAUGCCAUCCACAAGCUAAUGGCAAAGCUGAAUCUGCUGUGAAAAUACUGUAGUGAAGAAUAAUAAAUAAUAAAAAAAAAGUGAUGAUAAAGACCUCGUGGAAAGCCAUCUUACAUUGGAGAAACACUCCAACUGAGGGUAUGGAUAGUAGUCCUGCACAGAGACUGAUGUCAAAGAGGUUCAAGUAGCCAACAAGCUACUUGAACCAGAAAAGUUGUACCAGAAAUGUUAUGACUUAAGAGGUGUACCAGAAAAGGUAUAAGGUGAUAUAAGGUGUAUCAGAAAGGUUACGACUUAAGAGGCAAGUGUUCAAGGCAAGAUAUGACUAAUCUGCUAGGGAUUUACCUGAACUGAAUAUUGGGGAACAAAUCCAUAUGAAACCGCUUCCUGGAGAUCUAACAAGUCGCUGGAGAAUGGGAACCUGUCUGCAGAUCUGACGCAAUCGUGUGGAUCUGCGAGUGGUCGAGAAGCCUGAUUCACAAUAUCCAGUUGACAAGCCAGACACACCUGGUAUUCCAAGGACACACUCAUAUGUCGGAAGUAAAGAGUGUACAGAAGUGAUAUCACAGACUAAUGACAGCCCUAAGUAAGCAGGACCUGAAAGCAGUCAAGGAGAGAGAGUGUGUUUGUAUUUGUACUAAUUAUUUAUAGUGGUGGAACCCUUUUGUUUAAAAAAAAAAAAAAAAAUCCCCAAACUAAACUAUUCCCAGGGAAACCUAAUCUCUGGUGGUCCGGUGGGAGAUGUAGCAUGUCUGCACCUCCAGCUCCUUCUUGCCAGUACAGGGAAAUAUGUCACAGCAUUGCUAUGGUAUUCCGCAGUAACGCUCAGAUACAGUACAGGCGAGCAAGACCGCUAAAGGUGUCUCUAUUAGUACACCAGUCCUUCAGGCACCACAGCAGGAGAAUGGGCUGGCUGGCUUUGAUCUCACCACCGUACUUGCUGCCCCUGUCCUCUCCACUGUAAUUUAUAGGAUUUGAACCCCCAUCCCUGUGCUCUUUACUCCAUUGUUAAAAAAUAAUAUUUUUUGGAUGUUAGAGUGCUCUUUACUGCAUAUAGACAGGGCCGGUGCCACUGUUAGGCGAACUAGGCAUUCGCCUAGGGCGCCGGCCUGCUGGGGUGCACACCGGAAUGCUUCCUGCCCUGUCUGGAUCCACAGCGCUGGACGAGCGGCUGCCCUCCCCAGCGCCGGGCCUAUCCUCAAGGUGCCCAAAGGUGGGGGCAUUGUGAUGAUCCCUGUCACAGGGGGGCCAGUAGGAAGUCAUCUGGCCACCUCAGGUCGCCCCCGAAGCUGUGCGCUAGGUAAGUCAGAGCAGGCACCUGCUUACCUUAAUGGCAGGUGCCUGCUUUGCCAACAAAUCCCAGUGGGCGGAGAAGGCAAGCGAUGAGGGAGGCUGUUCUUGCAGUCUCUCACUCCUCUCUUGCGCGCCCUCUGUGAUGCCGGGAGCCGGAAUAUGACGUCUUUCCGGCCCCGGCAUACUAAACAGCGCACUGGAGGAGUGAGGAGAUGCCCCACACUGGACUUCAGGGAAGUGAGUGUUUGAGUAUUUGGCUGUAAGUGAGAGUGUGUGUGAGUGUCUGUCUGCCUGUGUGUGUGUGUGAGUGUUUGACUGUCAGUGUGUGUGUCUGCCUGUGUGUGAGUAUGUAUGUCAGUGAGUGUUUGUGAGUGUAUGUCUGAUAGUGAGAGUGAGUGUGUGUAUGUCUGUCAGUGAGAGUGUGUGUGUGUCUGUCAGUGAGUGUGUGUGUCGGUCAGUGAGUGUGUGUGUCGGUCAGUGAGUGUGUGAAUGUCUGUCUGUCUGUCAGUGAUUGUGUGUUUGUCUGUCAGUGAGUGAAUGUGUGUCUGCCUGUGAAUAAAUGUGUCUGCCAGUGUGUGUCUGUCAGUGAGUGAGUGAAUGUCUGUCUGUCUGUGAUUGUGUGUUUGUCUGUCAGUGAGUGAAUGUGUGUCUGCCUGUGAGUAAAUGUGUCUGCCAGUGUGUGUCUGUCAGUGAGUAAGUGACAUGAGGAGGGCGACAAAAUGGAUCUUUGCCUGGGGAGGCAGAAAUCCUUGAACCAGCCCUGCAUAUAGAUUACUGUGGCCAUAAAAAGCCAGAACACUUAUAUGGUAUAGUCUCCUCUCCACAGUCACUCCAUGUCUGAUGAAAUGUGUCCAACCCAGUGCUUCUAAUACAGAAGCAUUAGGGACAUGUGCAGCAAUUGCCAUGCUCUAUCAUUCCACUGCGUUUUAAAGAUAAGCUAUGAGAAGCACUAGUUGCAUUUGGUUCCAUCUUGUGGCGUGUGAUGGUAUUGAACGUGAAGAUCAUAAAAAAUGAAAAUAAACGCCUGACAGCCACUAGAGUUGUGGUUUACGCAAAAUGCAUUGUAGUUUCUCAGAAAUGGCAAUAUUUUACAUUGUCAUAGAAAAGGGACAGGGUCUCUGAAUCAAAACUACUUACCGUAUAUACUCGAGUAUAAGUCGACCCGAAUAUAAGUCGAGACCUCUAAUUUUACCCCAAAAAAUUGGGAAAACUUAUUGACUCGAGACUGGGGUGGGAAAUGCAGCAGCUACUGGUAAAUUUCUAAAUAAAAUUAUAUCCCCCAAAAAUUAUAUUAAUUGAAUAUUUAUUUACAGUGUGUGUAUAUAAUGAAUGCAGUGUGUGUGUGUGUAUAUAAUGCAAUGUGUUUGUAUGAAUGCGGUGUGUGUGUGUGUGUAUGAGUGCAGUGUGUGUGUCUAUGAAUGCAGUGUGUGUAUGAGUGCAGUGUGUGUGUGUGUAUAUGAGUGCAGUGUGUGUGUGAUGCAGAGCCUUGGUGGGGGGUGGGCAUUUUUAUAAAUUUUUUAAAAAUUAUUAUUUUAAUAUUAAAUUAAUUUUUUUUAUAUAUUAUUAUUUUAUUAUUAUUUAAAUCUUUAUUUAUAUUUAUUUUUGUCCCCCCUCCCUGCUUGUUAGCUGGCCAGGGAGGGGGGCUUUCAUUCCCUGGUGGUCCAGUGGGGUACACUGUGUAGGAGGGGGGCUGGCAGCGAGCUGUAACUUACCUUUCCUGCAGCUCCUGUCAGCUCCCCUGUAAGUCUCGUGGUGUGAGUGCCGCGCGGAGCGUUGCCACGGUAACCCAUGGCAACGCUCUGACCCCGCAGCUCUCGCAAAACUUGCAGGGGAGCUGACCGGACCGGAGGAGAGAGAAGGGAGCUGACAGGAGCUGCAGGAAAGGUAAGAAAACACUUCCUGCCAGCCUCCAACAGGACCGCCGGGCUUGUAAUGAGCCCAGCGGUCCUUGUCUGUAUUAUGGCAAUGUACGUUGCCAUAAUACAGACAGUGACUCGAGUAUAAGACGAGUGGGGGUUUUUUAGCACAAAAAAUUUGCUGAAAAACUCGUCUUAUACUCGAGUAUAUACGGUAAUUAAAACAAAGUGGUUUUAAUGCUUAGUGUCCCUUUUAAGCUAAGCAUACGUUUUGCAUACUAUAAAACAUUAAAAUUGGUUAAAACUGCAAAUUAUUCACCCCGUGACUUCAUUUUAUGUAGAAAGCAAAAUGUAGAAAGUCCUUGCACUCACGCUUAGUAGACUGUUUGCCGGGUGCUUCAAAUCCAGGAAAAUUCUAAUAUAUAUAUAGAUAGUGAUCAGCACUCACGGACUUGUGAAGAUUAAAACAUACAGUUUAUUGAUAAUCCAUUAAAAAUAAGAUCGACGUUUCAGUCCCAGCAGGGACUUUCAUCAGGAUCAGGCAUAUAUAUAUGUGUGUGUGUUUUUGUGUGUAUAUAUAUAUAUAUAUAUAUAUAUUAGGCAUAUAUUUUUUUAUUUGAUAGACCUCACAUGCAGAGUUAACAUUCUGAAUUUUAGUGAUUAAAAUCUAAAUGGCAGCAUGUAUGUUAAAAUAGCCAAACUGUGCUUAUUACAGUUUGGGAUUUUAAAAAAUAUAUAUUUUUGCAUACAUUUUGCCAUUUUAAAUAUAAUUAAAUAAAAUUUGGAGUCCAGUGAAUAACCCUAUAUGUGUAUUUUUUUGUCAUUGAAGGCUUCAAAUUCUUUUGUUCUUAUUACAUUGAAAGAUGCCAGGACCAGGGUCUUACCGAGUAGCACUAGAUUGUGCUUGUCUUGAGUCUAAGAGAGCAGUCAUAACCAAAUCUGGACCAAGGCGCACUACAAUAAAAGAAAGGUUUGUAGUGGAAAUCUAUUUCUGUUGCUUUUUAUCUUCUUCACCAAUUUAUAAAUGUCACAUUUACUUGGUCUUAUUAAUAAACAUAUGCAGACUUCCAGACAAAUUCACUAAUUUUAAUUGGCAGACAUAGAUGUAAAUUUUAAUGCAGAUAUUUGUGUGUGUGUGUGUAUGUAUAUGUAUGUAUGUGUAUAUAUAUAUAUAUAUAUAUAUAUACACACACACACACUUUUUUUUUAAACUGCACUCAACCUAUUAUAGUCCUGAAGACACUUAGAUUGUGGUUUCCCCACUAUUUUGUUUGGCACUUGGAGCAUAAUGUCUAAAUAAUAUGUUAUGUGCUAUAAACAAAAAAGAGCCAGCAUUUGAAACUGUGGCACAUUCCUUAAGAACAUUUUUGUAUAUGAUAGAAAUCAGUAGGACUAAUUCACUAAACCGCGAGUUGUAGGGAAAUGGCAAGGGAAUUGCACACACACCUAAAACUAUAUAUAUAUUUUUUUAAAUCACCUGUUACAUUGCUGUGAAAAAAGUAAUGCAUUUCCAUCUGUAAAUGCUAUAAUUGUACUAUAGUGGUAAUAUGUCAUGGAAAUGUGUACUCCAGUAAACCUUUUUACACCAAUAUUUUACGAGUGUGCAGCAAUCGAAAAUAGAAGCAUAUCUUAUUCUAUUAAUGAUUUCAGAUCAGGGACAUUUUUGAUUUCCAGGUCCAGUAACAUCUGCCCAAAUGCCUUUCCCUGAAAAAAAGCACAAGAACAUUAUGAACAUGAUUUAUAUUUUAUUGCAAAUUCAAUUACAGCUUUCG